rnacentral:rRNA from 1 species
GACGAACGCUGGCGGCGUGCCUAAUACAUGCAAGUCGAGCGCAGGAAACUGACGGAGCUCUUCGGAGGAAAGGCAGCGGAAUGAGCGGCGGACGGGUGAGUAACACGUAAGGAACCUGCCUCAAGGAUUGGGAUAACUCCGAGAAAUCGGAGCUAAUACCGAAUAGUUCAACGGACCGCAUGGUCCGCUGAUGAAAGGCGCUCCGGCGUCACCUUGAGAUGGCCUUGCGGUGCAUUAGCUAGUUGGUGGGGUCACGGCCCACCAAGGCGACGAUGCAUAGCCGACCUGAGAGGGUGAUCGGCCACACUGGGACUGAGACACGGCCCAGACUCCUACGGGAGGCAGCAGUAGGGAAUCUUCCACAAUGGACGAAAGUCUGAUGGAGCAACGCCGCGUGAGUGAUGAAGGUUUUCGGAUCGUAAAACUCUGUUGUAAGGGAAGAACACGUACAAGAGGGAAUGCUCGUACCUUGACGGUACCUUACGAGAAAGCCACGGCUAACUACGUGCCAGCCGCCGCGUAA